UUUUGUGGUUUGGGCGACAUGAUUUUCAAAGGACAAGUUGCUGUCUAAUAAACACCAGGUCUUUCACUGUCGAGCUACUAGUAACAGUACAUCCCUCUAAUUGGAAGUUAAAUUGUGAGAGUUUCUGUGUACUGUUUUUUGGACCUAUAAUUAGUAUUUCUGUCUUAACAGAAAGUUACAGCUCAUCUUUUAUCUCUCUAAGGCACUGAGUUAAUUUGGACAAUUUAGCUAUUUCAUCUGUUGGAAGUUAAAAAAUCUCUCACGCUGCCUUGAUAUCUACAGAAAGGUCUGUUUAUCAUGGCAGAUUUUCUGGAUUAGUAAAUCAGUCUUACAAAAAAAAAAUGUUAAAGUAUAAUGUUUAGAAAUAUUUAUACUGAACCAGAGGUAUUGCUUAGACAUAUUAUUUAUAAUUUGUUCAAGUUAAAGCAGUAAAUUUUAUCAGCGCUUUUCAGACUGUUUCAGACUACCUUAUCUUUCCUGUAUGUCGUCUGCACUGUCUCUCGUCUUUGUACUUGGUCCUCUCCUUUUCUCUCUGUACAGUAUACUCACUAUCUUGGUGAUGUUAUUUCCUCACAUCAUUUCUCUUACCAUUGCUAUGCUGAUGACACUCAACUAUCCCUCAGAUACACAGCUUCUGCUCAGAUCUCAGUGUGUCUGGAACUCAAUCCCAGCAAAACUGAACUGCUGGUCAUCAGGUGAUUCAUCCCCAGGUCAGGAUCUUGUAAUAUCCCUGCACAACAGUCUGAUCUUUCCUUUUGGUUACAGCUCACAACCUUUGGGUAAACAUGGACAAUUAACUGUCCUUUUCCUCACAUGCUGAUGAUGUGACUCGCUCAUGUCAGUUUCUUCUCUAAAACAUUAGAAGGAUUUGGGCCAGUUUUCUCCACACAGGCUGAUCAGGUACUCGUUCGGUCUCUUGUCAUCUCAAGACUCGAAUACUGCAACUCACUACUGUCAGGUCUAUAUGUGUAUUAAAUAAAUAAAUAAAUAAAUACCCCGGGGUAGACCUAGGACACGCUGGAGGGACUAUGUCUCUCGGCUGGCCUGGGAACGCCUCGGUAUUCCCCGGGAGGAGCUGGAGGCAGUGUCUGGGGAGAGGGAAGUCUGGGUGUCCCUGCUUAGACUGCUGCCCCCGCGACCCGGCCCCGGAUAAGCGGUAGAAGAUGGAUGGAUGGAUGGAUGGAUGGAUGGAUGGAUAAAUAAAUAAAUAAACCCCAAAAAGAGAUUUAGGUACAUUUCAUUCUGUCUGUAACCUAGUGAACCAGCAUUAAUGUGUUCAUCCAUAGAGACUUAAAAGCACUUUUUGUACGCCGCUCUGUAUAAGCGAUGGUUUAAGGUUACACACAGUCACAUCAUGUCAGCUCUAGUCGAGUGUUGUUUGUAUAGCUCUGUGUACUAUGUACAACGUCUUGGCCAAUAGCUUUAAAUCAGCAGGUGUGUCUAAUUCUUUUCCUUAUGAGCUUGUCUAAGCUUGUCUGAUCAGAGAAGAACAACAUUUAAAGGGCGUUCGUCUGGGACUUUAAUAAACCACCGACAUUAUUAAAGGUUUUCUCCACCACUCCAAGGUAAAUCCUCGGUCCUGUUCCUGAUCACAAAGGAAGAGGUUGAAGUUUAGACAAUUCAAAUUUAGUAAAUUAAUAAUUUUAUUAUACUAAGUAGAAAGAUGAGCACUGACCAUCAGUUGGAUGGUCUAACUGAAGAGCAGCUGGCUUGGUUUUUUCGCUCCAAGAAGACCGAGAUGUCUUGUUUGGAAGAACCACAAACCCUCCUCAACCAACUUCGGGACUUUUAUCUAGUCCCUGAGGAUCUGUACCAGAAAGUAACAAAGGCAAAGACUAAAAAGACAAAGCAGAAAGUUAUGUAUGAGAUUUUGGACUGGGUUGAGAAGGAGAGGCGUCCGUUGUUGAAGGUGUUUUGGAGUUGUGCUUUUAAGGAUCACAUCCUACAGCAAUAUCCUCUCUUUCGGUUGUACAAAACAAGUCUUCUGAAUGAACAAAAGAAAACUGAACAAACAGUGGAUGGAACAAAGAGAAAGAAAUGUGCUAGCGAGAGAGAGGAGACAGAACCAGGUCCUUCUUCUGUAGUCCGCAUCAGACAGCUGGAACCAACCAAGAAGCCUCGCACUGACAUUGUGACACUGGACUGAAUGAGCUUCUCAGAAGUGUGAGAAUUUAUGGGUUUAAGGUUAUUUUAUUAAUUCUCCUGUAAUUUUAACAUGUAGUUAACUGAAAUGCAAGAUUUAGCCACUUGUUAAAAAGAUUCAGUGAAAAUAAAAUAAACAUUCCUAUUUGAGACUCA